rnacentral:rRNA from 1 species
GUGGGGAAUAUUCCGCAAUGGACGAAAGUCUGACGGAGCAACGCCGCGUGAGUGAAGACGGCCUUCGGGUUGUAAAGCUCUGUUAUAUGGGACGAACGGGUGUAUGGUCAAUACCCAUACGCCGUGACGGUACCGUAAGAGAAAGCCACGGCUAACUACGUGCCAGCAGCCGCGGUAAUACGUAGGUGGCAAGCGUUGUCCGGAAUCAUUGGGCGUAAAGGGCGCGCAGGCGGUUCGGUAAGUCGGUCUUAAAAGUGCGGGGCUUAACCCCGUGAUGGGAUUGAAACUGCCGGACUGGAGUGUCGGAGAGGAAAGCAGAAUUCCUAGUGUAGCGGUGAAAUGCGUAGAUAUUAGGAGGAAUACCAGUGGCGAAAGCGGCUUUCUGGACGACAACUGACGCUGAGGCGCGAAAGCCAGGGGAGCAAACGGGAUUAGAAACCCUGGUAGUCC